CAAAGGGAUUGUUUCGUGCACGAUAGACGUCAGACCCCGUAGGUAGAAACAAUAGGGACACAGAACAAGCAAGUGAAUGUGAUGACAUGCAGAUCACUCUAGAAGCUAAAAUUAAAAUAAUUUGGAUUAAGUGAAUUACUUAUGCUCUAAUGAAAUGAAUUCCAAGUGCUACUUAUUAUCUAACUGUUUAGAUACCAUGCAAGUAAUUUAAACAUCUAAAUGGUGAAACUCGUGAUCUAUAUGCUAGUUGUUUCUUAUUGCAGUUUUUGAAGUAGCUUACUGGAAUUGUACUACACAUGAAUUCGUAGAUAUAUAUAAAAUUACAGAUAAGGGUGAGACAGAUUAUUUGGCAAAAUGCUUUGAUUAUAUCUACAUAUAUUUUUUCUUUAAUAGCAUAAAUUUAAGGAAGUGCAUUCAAAACUAGUAACUAGGAUACAUACACUUAAACACUAAAUUGAACUACGACACUUGUCACAGGGAAGAAUUUAUAAGUUGAAGAAUCAACGCAUCAACUAGAACGGUUGAGCGGUAACGAAUUACUACAAGAAUUUUGUAAUUUAUUCUUCGUAUCAUCUCACCAAUAAAUUCACAUAAUUGACUAUUCGUCUAUUACCGCCCAAC